UUUAUUCUUCCUGUUUAUAAACAGAACAUGAAAGGAGAUACAGGACAAAAAGAUGACAAAAAAAAAAAUAUACAAAACAAAGCCACAUCUUCUGAAUUGGAUUAAGUAAGAAGAGAUGCAAGUAAAGAGACUUCAGUUCUAUCCCUCCCCUAAAGGCUGCCAGCAUUACUGUUGUCAAGUUAGUGAGAUACAUCUUUUAAAGUGGUAUUUGGGUAGUCAAAGAUAUUCAGAUGCUUUUCUGCAUCCUUGGACGUUCAUAUAGCAUUACCAAUUGACUGUCCAGUUCUCCAUACUUCAACUUUGCUUUGCAUUAUGUUUGACUUAAAGGGAGUGGCAAAUAUUUGCGAAUUGCCUCCGGAUGGAACAAAGAAAUACCAAAUUAAUGUUUAUUUGAUAAUAAUAGCACAUAUGCCUUCUCUAAAACAGCAGAAUCUCACUGGUCCAAAUCUGAUAUUUACAGUGUUGCUAAGUGAAUUUUAAAAGGAUCUUUGUAACAAACAAACACCCCUUGUUUCCCCCUUGCUACAGACCUAAUUGGUUUCCAAAGCUAUUAAAGAUCACAAGCAGCAGCGUUUUACAGGACUAUCAUUUUAUGACUACUUUGAACAUGUGGAUUUGGUGACUACAACGUGGGGAGCAUGAGUCAGAGCAUUUAGAAAAGCAAUCAGUUGUCCUUUGACCCUUAAAAAGAAAUGAAAUAUGUCAAAAGCUGCAGUGACUCCAAGGAAUGAAGUGCCCAGAUUUACCCCCAGCCUUUAGUGUGGUCUGUACUUGUCAGCGGCUCCCAGACACAGAUACAGAGUUAAUUAAGGGCAAGUACUUUCUCCCUCCACGUGUACUUCUUAAAUGUGGAAGAAAAAAAGUAGGUAUGCAAUUUUGUGAUUUCAGAGACCUUUAUGAAAACUUCUUAAUCAUCUCAUUCAAAUCGCACCUUAUGCCAACUUUAAAGUUAAGACAUUUCAUCAGGAUAUCACUUUUAGAUUUGACAUAUUACUCCUUCCCUGUCACACUCACCAGCUGGCAGAGAAAUAAGGUGAUAGUAGCGAGAACAAGACAGAAAACUACUGACACAUUUCUGGUGAGUGGAUGUGCACAGCUGCAAAUACUGUGUUAGUGAGCAUGUUUCCUAACCAGUCGGGUAAUAGACUAAGCACCCUUCCUUUUCUGCACUCUAAAUGCAGGUGACAAGCCACUGUAUGAGGCUGAGCAACUCCUCCCUACGCUGUGCCCUCCAACAGCAAAUAAUUUACAUAUGCUAGCAAAAGGGCAAUAUCUUCCAAAAGUUUGUGCUGACAAUCCCUGUGCUGUUCCUACUUACACCUGUCUCUGGGACAAGAGACAGGGUGAGGCUCUGGAAAUACACUAAUAUGCAGAACCACUUCUAAUAACAAUUUGGAUAACACCCAACUAUGAGAAACUGGAGAUGGAGACUUAACACUAAGACCAACAAACUAAGAAGGACCAGUUAGUACACUGUGUUAUUUGUGAAAGUGUAUCCAGUUUCUAUAAACCAUCUACAAUGCAAUACGGGGCUGGGACUUGAGUCGCCCAGCUCAAAGAAACAUUAGAAACAAGUCAUGGAUGAAGAACUGGCUGGAGGAUCGAGUCCAGAGAGUGGUGGUCAAUGACUCAGUGUCUGGAUGGAGAUCAUUGAUGAGUGGUGUCCCCCAGGGUUCGGUGCUGGGACCGAUACUCUUUAAUA